GUGCAAUGAUGCAUGAGUUUUACCUGAAAUCCCUGUGAGGGUUGGAAUCCGAGCUUUUUAACACUGAGUCACA
rnacentral:snoRNA from 1 species